rnacentral:rRNA from 1 species
UACGUAGGUGGCAAGCGUUGUCCGGAUUUACUGGGCGUAAAGAGCGCGCAGGCGGUCGUUCAAGUCGCGUGUGAAAGCCCCCGGCUCAACUGGGGAGGGUCACGCGAUACUGAUCGACUCGAAGGCAGGAGAGGGUAGUGGAAUUCCCGGUGUAGUGGUGAAAUGCGUAGAUAUCUGGAGGAACACCGGUGGCGAAGGCGGCAUCCUGGACCAAUAUUGACGCUGAGGAGCGAAAGCCAGGGGAGCAAAGCGGG